UACAUACUGAGAAACAGAGCUUACAGGGGAAAUAUAUAGUACUGUAGAGAACUAGAUAUUGAAAAAAGGAUAUCAGUAGGUGACUUCAGAAAAAAAGAACUGAAUGGGUGCUCACAUAGAAAACACCAGCCACACACACACUAGUUAGUAAACAAGGGGUCAGUCCUUCAGGAAGGUUAAUGCACUGAGGUGCCCUACCUUGUUUGAAUACUGGAGUGUCAAAGUCCAGAAUACUGUCGUGUGGGUUUUAGUACCAUCUCAUUUAAAAACCUAAUUCCUUUCAAGAAGAGCUGUGAUUUUAAGUAAAGCCAAACAUUUUU